rnacentral:rRNA from 1 species
UACGUAGGGGGCAAGCGUUGUCCGGAUUUAUUGGGCGUAAAAGGCUUGUAGGUGGCCACGCCAAGUCGGAUGUGAAAUCUCCCGGCUCAACUGGGAGGGGUCAUUCGAUACUGCCGGGCUAGAGUCCGGAAGAGGCGAGUGGAAUUCCUGGUGUAGCGGUGGAAUGCGCAGAUAUCAGGAGGAACACCAACGGCGAAGGCAGCUCGCUGGGACGGUACUGACGCUGAGGCGCGAAAGCGUGGGGAGCGAACAGG